UACGUAGGUGGCAAGCGUUACUCGGAAUCACUAGGCGUAAAGCGCAGGUAGGCGGUUCGGUAAGUCUUUUGUGAAAGCUCCUGGCUCAACUGGGAGAGGUCAAAGGAAACUACCGGGCUAGAGUUUGGUAGGGGAUACUGGAAUUCCUGGUGUAGCGGUGAAAUGCGUAGAUAUCAGGAGGAAUACCUAUGGCGAAAGCAGGUAUCUGGGCCACAACUGACGCUGAGCUGCGAAAGCGUGGGGAGCAAACAGG
rnacentral:rRNA from 1 species